rnacentral:rRNA from 1 species
UACGUAUGGUGCAAGCGUUAUCCGGAAUGACUGGGUGUAAAGGGAGCGUAGACGGUUGUACAAGUCUGAUGUGAAAGCCCUCGGCUCAACUGUGGGAGUGCAUUGGAAACUGUAGAACUAGAGUAUCGGAGAGGCAAGUGGAAUUCCUAGUGUAGCGGUGAAAUGCGUAGAUAUUAGGAGGAACACCAGUGGCGAAGGCGGCUUGCUGGACGAAAACUGACGUUGAGGCUCGAAAGCGUGGGGAGCAAACAGG